rnacentral:tRNA from 1 species
GGAGAGGUGCCGGAGUGGCUGAACGGGGCGGCCUGCUAAGCCGUUGUAGGGAAUUUCUCUACCGAGGGUUCGAAUCCCUCCCUCUCCG